rnacentral:lncRNA from 10 species
CAGAAGCUGUGGCUUAUAGUUGAAGUAAACAGAUCAAGGGCACACAACCCAAACCUGUUAAACCAGUUUGAACCAAGAUCACGUUUCUACUGUCUUCAGGAAAUGAGAAAAAUGAAUCCAGGAAAUUUCCAUCUUUAACUAUACUCUGUAAAUGUGCUGUCCAAUACACAGAUAGCUACUGAGCACUGGAAUAUAGCUAGUCUGAAUGGAGAUGUUCUGUUUGACUUUUUUGGACUCCACAUGUGUGAGAUCAUGCAAUAUUUGUCUUUCUGUGCCUGGCUUAUUUCACUUAGCGUAAUGUCCUCCAGGCUCAUCCAGGUUGUUGCAAAAGGCAGGAUUUUCUUCUUUUUUAAGGCUUGGAGAGUCAUUUGUUUUCAUAAGAGUCUGAAUCAGGAAGGCAGCCACCUGUGAAGAAAAGACAAAGGCAAAGUGGUGAAGAGCAAGGAGAAAUUGGAACCCACGAGAAUGAGCUGGAACUCCAAUGGAUGAGUUAGAACUCUGUCAGUCUUUCCAAACCUCCAGUUUCAAUGCUGAAGGGGUGACCUUCAAUCAAAGUUUGAGCCCUUUGUCAUGGAACUAAAUAUUCACCUGAACAGGGAGUUGAAGAAGCUUGUCAGAGAGUUGACGGGGUGUCCGAUAGGAGCAGAAAAACUAGGAGUGGGAUCUGCCCUAUGCUAUUAUUGGGGCUUGGAAAAUAAAACUGCAAAGAUUGGCACUUUGACAUGCUGAGAGGCCUUAGAAGCUGCCUCAGAAUCCAGGUCCCUCUAAUAUUGUCUUCUUCCCCCAACCCCGCUUCGUGCCCAAGCACAAGAAGGGAUUCUCUGGGAUUUUCUGGGAUUUUCUUAUUUCACCAUGAAAUCUUAUUUCCAAAAUGAACAAGAUUGCCUUCUUCCUCUCCCUGAAGUCCCCCUGUCUCUUUCAGAAAAGAAGACUGAGGAAUGCAACUAGAAUGGAUUUUUCACAAGAGAAUGCCUGCUUUUCUGGCUCAUUCGAAUUCCAAAGACAAUCAUUUACAAGUUAAUUUCUGUCCAUUUCUUCUCCUUAAGAAUCAUUUGCUGUCUCUGAGAAGCAUUGUCCACAUUCCCCAUUCUCCCCUCUCCCCUGUGAAAAAGGAUAUAAGCUUCUGUACCUCAUUGGGUUAUUGGGUAAUCAUUCUCCUGAGAAUCACCUGUGCUAUGCAUGUUAAAAUAAAAUUGUGCAAGCCUUCUCUG